rnacentral:rRNA from 1 species
GUGUAGCGUACCUACUAGCCUACGACGGGUACGGGUUGUGAGAGCAAGAGCCCGGAGAUGGAUUCUGAGACACGAGUCCAGGCCCUACGGGGUGCAGCAGGCGCGAAAACUUUACAAUGCUGGCAACAGCGAUAAGGGAACCUCGAGUGCCAGGUUACAAAUCUGGCUGUCGAGAUGCCUAAAAAGCAUUUCAUAGCAAGGGCCGGGCAAGACCGGUGCCAGCCGCCGCGGUAACACCGGCGGCUCGAGUGGUAACCGUUAUUAUUGGGUCUAAAGGGUCUGUAGCCGGCCGGAUAAGUCUCUUGAGAAAUCUGGCAGCUUAACUGUCAGGCUUUCAGGAGAUACUGUCUGGCUCGAGGCCGGGAGAGGUGAGAGGUACUUCAGGGGUAGGGGUGAAAUCUUGUAAUCCUUGAAGGACCACCAGUGGCGAAGGCGUCUCACCAGAACGGACCUGACGGCAAGGGACGAAAGCUAGGGGCACGAACCGGAUUAGAUACCCGGGUAGUCCUAGCCGUAAACGAUACUCGCUAGGUGUCGGCCACGGUGCGACCGUUGUCGGUGCCGUAGGGAAGCCGUGAAGCGAGC